rnacentral:rRNA from 1 species
UACGUAGGGGGCGAGCGUUGUCCGGAGUUACUGGGCGUAAAGCGUCCGCAGGCGGUGCGGCAAGUUCGAGGUGACAGUGCGCGGCUUAACUGCGCAAGGUCCUUGAAAACUGCCGCACUUGAGGGCUUCAGAGGGACCCGGAAUUCCGGGUGGAGUGGUGAAAUGCGUAGAGAUCCGGAGGAACACCAAAGGCGCAGGCAGGGUCCUGGGAAGCCACUGACGCUCAUGGACGAAAGCUAGGGGAGCGAACGG